rnacentral:rRNA from 1 species
AGUGAACGCUGGCGGUAGGCCUAACACAUGCAAGUCGAACGGCAGCACAGUAAGAGCUUGCUCUUACGGGUGGCGAGUGGCGGACGGGUGAGGAAUACAUCGGAAUCUACUUUUUCGUGGGGGAUAACGUAGGGAAACUUACGCUAAUACCGCAUACGACCUACGGGUGAAAGCAGGGGAUCUUCGGACCUUGCGCGAUUGAAUGAGCCGAUGUCGGAUUAGCUAGUUGGCGGGGUAAAGGCCCACCAAGGCGACGAUCCGUAGCUGGUCUGAGAGGAUGAUCAGCGACACUGGAACUGAGACACGGUCCAGAGUCCUACGGGAGGCAGCAGUGUGGAAUAUUGGACAAUGGGCGCAAGCCUGAUCCAGCCAUACCGCGUGGGUGAAGAAGGCCUUCGGGUUGUAAAGCCCUUUUGUUGGGAAAGAAAAGCAGCAGGUUAAUACCCCGCUGUUCUGACGGUACCCAAAGAAUAAGCACCGGCUAACUUCGUG